GCCAGCAUGGUAGAGUGGUUUGAGCGUUGGACUAUGACUCUGGAGACCAGGGUUCAAAUUCCUGCUUGGCC